CAAGGCUAGUUUUGGUUGCGGAAAUGGGAAUCUUGGGAAAAUGCAUUCUUGCCUAUGUUAGGAAAAGUAUAAUUUUCAUGAUUGCAGUAUGCAUGGUCUUUUCUUUCAAAAAUAUAUUAUAUUAGUUACUAUAUAUUUUUGAAUGGAAGGCCCAUGUGUAUUUCAAUCAUGAAACUUUUUCUCUUUGGCAAUGAGCAUUCUCUUUUGCAGCCUUUUCUGUAAUCAUCAUCAGUAUUCUUCUCCCCAGCUGGAAUAAAGCUGGGAUGAUAAGUUAGUAUAUGUUAGUUACAUACGAAAUGGUAUUAGAUUAGUGUAGAUAUUAAAAGCCAUUUCUCACCUAUUGAUAUCAGAAGGGUUUGAUGUUUAGAUGACUAAGGCUCUAUACAUCACCCUUCUCCAAUCUUUAGGCGAGAAAGGGUUGAACAGCAAUUGCCAGAACUUGUUGCCUGCAGAUCUUUUAUGGUGGAGUGACUCUGUUGGAUAAAUUACGCUACUUUCUUCGGGUUGAUUAUAGACAGACAUACCUGACAUUACCCUCCCCUCUUAGCUAAUCAAUGUUGUCAAAGGCGCGCUUUAAGCCUUAAAGCGAGGCUCAAAACAUGUUGAGCAAUUCUCCUCGCUUUGCUUACAUCAAGGCUUUAAUACAUACUUUUCCUUGCCAAUGAGUGUAAUCCUGAAAAUACGACACUGAAUAAUUGAUAUUUCACUUUAUCAUAAUUUUUUUCCUAAGUUUUUUGUUCUAUAUGCUUAUUAUUCAUGCUUUUAGUUAUUGGUCUUGGAUUGCAUAUACAUAUUUUUACUUUUUCUUCAAUUGCGUGUUCUUUCAUUUUGCGCUUUGUGCUUUGUGCUUAAAGCCCCAGUAGACCUUAGAGCUUUUAACACUGUAGCAAGGAGAAGUUAAACUCCUUGCAGUUACACGGGCUCCUACCGGGGCAGAAUCGCCUUGGUUGAAGCAGUGUCGGAUAGUUGAAAAGUUAUAAUAAAUAUAUCUUUGUAAUUAGUAUAUAAUACAAAAUAUAAAUAUAAAAUGUGUAAAAUGACUACUUUUGUCGCAACUUUGUCUUUGUCCACAUGGUCAGUUUCCUUCGUUUACUUGAAAAUGGUCAUGUGUUCGAAUUCCAUGAUAGAUAUCUUUUCUUAACAUUUUUGAGACUCUUCUUGAAUUUUUGUAUGGUUAUUUAUGCUUAAAUUGUGUUUUAUAAUAUAUUAUGUUGGUUAAUAAGAUAUCUGUUAUAUAGGUAGUUAUUUCUUACUUCAUUUUUUUAUAUACCGACACCGCUUUCAAAAAGUUCUUACGUACCCCGGGCUCCUAAACAAACUGAAGUUGAAGUGUCUUAUGCAACAAGCUAAUGAAGCAACUAAUUGGUAGAGGCACAAUAAUAAUCUUGAGUAAUGACACGGCUUGAUAUGGUUAUGGCUUUCUUAUAUUUAUGAGGUUACAACUGAAUGGAAUGUGCGGUGUAGGCCAAUAAUCUGUUUCUGUUGUAUAUUAACACUCAAAAGGAACUACUUUGUCAAAAUAGACAAAACCUCCCUCUGAAAUUCUGGGUAGUGCCUGUACCUAUGAUUAUGAAUGUUGCUCACUUUAGUAUUCAUUCGCGAAAGGAAAGAUAGUCUAAGCAGAAUAUUGCAAUGUUAUUAUGGCUCGUAGUGGUUGCUCUGAUGGUAAGCAACCCACACUUCCAACCGAGAGGUGAGUUCGAGUCUCCCCAAAAGCAAGGUGGGAAGUUCUUGGAGGGAAGGAUGCCGGGGUCUAUUUGGAAACAGCCU
rnacentral:lncRNA from 1 species